GACGAACGCUGGCGGCGUGCUUAACACAUGCCAGUCGAACGGAAAGGCCCUGCUUUUGUGGGGUGCUCGAGUGGCGAACGGGUGAGUAACACGUGAGUAACCUGCCCUUGACUUUGGGAUAACUUCAGGAAGCUGGGGCUAAUACCGGAUAGGAGCUCCUGCUGCAUGGUGGGGGUUGGAAAGUUUCGGCGGUUGGGGAUGGACUCGCGGCUUAUCAGCUUGUUGGUGGGGUAGUGGCUUACCAAGGCUUUGACGGGUAGCCGGCCUGAGAGGGUGACCGGCCACAUUGGGACUGAGAUACGGCCCAGACUCCUACGGGAGGCAGCAGUGGGGAAUAUUGCACAAUGGGCGGAAGCCUGAUGCAGCAACGCCGCGUGCGGGAUGACGGCCUUCGGGUUGUAAACCGCUUUCGCCUGUGACGAAGCGUGAGUGACGGUAAUGGGUAAAGAAGCACCGGCUAACUACGUG
rnacentral:rRNA from 1 species